AACUCACAUCGUGGUAGGAGUGUCAUUGAUUUGAAAGUCUGUUUUUUAGGCACUCUUUAUUAAUACUAAUUCAGUUGCUCUUUUUCCAGCAAAACAGAUCUGAUUUGAGGGUGCUCUAGUACGGUCAGAGUGAAUACAGAGCGUUUAAGAUAUCAUCUCUUUUGAUCGUUGUACCUGAUUAUGGCAUUAUCCAAGCAUUAAGUUGUAUGCCUUUGUUCCUGGGAGAAAGUUGAUACUAGCAAGUCCCUAUUCUUCCUGGCUUCUGGACUCAGCUGGAAACUCUGGAUUCUUCUCUCCUUUUUCAUAUAUUAGCCUGAGCCUCUGUCCCCCAAAGAGCUCCAAUCACAUCUUUCAUUCAAGUCUCCAUCUCUCCCAAGGUGGCAGCUCUAGUAUAAGUUGUUCUCUUGGUGGCAUUACUUACACACUUAGAGGGUAAACAUGCUUCAAGAUCACAGAGAUUCUCCAGGGAAGCAUCCUAUAGUCCCUAAUAUCAGUUCAUGCUUGAUGGUGCUUUUAUGCCUCUGGCUCCAAUGAGGGGCUUACAAAUCAGGU